UGGUUAUCAUAACUAAGUGGAGGGGAGUAAUAACUGGUAAUUAUAACUAGGUGUAGGGGAGUAUUAACUGGUUAUUAUAACUAAGUGGAGGGGAGUAUUAACUGGUAAUUAUAACUAAGUGAAGGGGAGUAUUAACUGGUAAUUAUAACUUAGUGGAGGGGAGUAUUAACUGGUUAUUAUAACUAAGUGGAGGGGAGUAUUAACUGGUUAUUAUAACUAAGUAGGGGGGAGUAUUAACUGGUAAUUAUAACUAAGUGUAGGGGAGUAUUAACUGGUAAUUAUAACUAAGUGUAGGGGAGUAUUAACUGGUAAUUGUAACUAAGUGGAGGGGAGUAUUAACUGGUAAUUAUAACUAAGUGGAGGGGAGUAUUAACUGGUGAUUAUAACUAAGUGGAGGGGAGAGUGGAGGGGAGUAUUAACUGGUAAUUAUAACUCAUUGGAGUAAAAUAUGUUUGCCAUCGACAAUUUUAACACAUUAAACGCGUGUCUUUCAACUAAAACCUCAUGGGUGUGUUGACUUAUUAAACAAAUGACGAUUAUACUCGUAUGUUUCUAACGUGUCAGCUGUGUAACACUGAACUAAAGGUUCGUUAGAAUCCAGUAAAUACUCACCAUACCAAUCCUUUACAAAUGUAAAAACGUAAACGUAUGUAAAACACAUUAGCUAAAAGAUAUAUAUCUAUAUAUAUA